ensembl:lncRNA
CAGCUAUUUUCAGAAAACAAAGCCAAAAUUUCACAUUUUGGAAAUGUGGAAAAAUUCACAUACAAAUCUUCUACAGGAACUAUACAGAAGUAUACAAAGGAUUAAUUAUUGUUUUUAAGAACUAGUUAAAAUGCCCCACAUUCUACAGUUUUGCUCAGGUACUUUGUUCAAGUGAAGUACAUUGUUCAAGUUCAAGUGAACUGCAAAGAAGCAAGGAACUAAAAGAAAAAUAUUUUACAAAUGUAUAUAUUUUGUGUCUAUGUAUUAUCUACAAUAGUGCAAAUAUAUCACAGCAUGCAAGCAGAAGCUUCUAAAGAAAUGAAUCAAAAUUAUGUAUACAGUAUCAUAAAAAUAGGUAUUACACCAAAAUACAGACUAUUCACACCUUUGGACACUGAUUUUAAAAUAUUACUUGCAUUGAUUUUUGCUUAAGGGAAAUGGGGGGGGGGGAGAAAAAUAUUAAAUAAUUACUAACCAAAUGACAGAUUACCUUUCAUACUAAGCUCAAAUAAAAUUAUAUGUUAGAGGCACAAGGGACAGAAUUCUGACCUUUGAAGCCAUGAAGACCAAGGAUAAAAUCUUCCAUCUGAUACUUCAUUGUUGUGGGACAAAGCAAGUCAUUUAUCCCUCAAUGCUCUAGGCCAGAAGUGUAAAACACACAGUGUAUUUACAGCAUCAACAUUCUACACUGUGGCUUCAACCUGAUUAAAAUGUAAUUGGUUAAUAUUUAACAAAAUAAAUAAAAAAAAAUACAAGAGGACAUUGUUAUUGUUCAGUCAUUUAAAAUUCUUUGUGACCCCAUUUGGGAUUUUCUUGGCAGAGACACUGAGUAGUUUGCCAUUUCCUUCUCUAGCUCAUUUUUACAGAUGAGGAAACUGAGGAAAACAGAAUUAAGUGAGUUGUUCAGUCAUAUACAUGUAGCUACUAAAUGUGUGAGGCCAGAUGAGUAUUCCUGACUUCAGGCCAGGCCCUGUAUCCACUGUAUCACCCAGAUGCCCAUACAAUAGGAUACAAAUAAUGUUAAGAUCUGCUUUUCUACAUCAACACAUGACUGGCAGAGAUUCUUAUGUAUGGUUUCUAUUUUAAGAGACCACAGUCUUUAAUUGAAUCUGACACCACAGUUCUGGGCAAUUCUCUAAUACUAUAAGUCACAAUAAAGGUGCCCACGACCUGUAUUGGUGGAAGGGACUUUCUCACCAAGGAGUUCCCUAUAGGAAUGUAUAGGUCUGCCAUGGCACCAAUAAUUCUAAAUAGCAUAGGUAAAGUGUCAGGUACCUUAAGUUUUUCAGUACACAAUUUCUUUUAAAAAGUGAUCAUCUUCCCUUUUAGGAAGGAGAAUCAAAAUAUUACAAUCAUUUUGCAGUACUUUUUAAUCAUCAUUUAUAUGAAAGACUUUAAAUCCAAAUGCUUGUAGUGGACUAAAUCAUAAAGAAAAAUUAGAUUCACAUAGACUGACUUCUUGAUGUUAGAGACCAUCUAGUAUACAGUAAUAGAUCUCUUUAAUGAGAAAAUGUAAAGAUUGAAAAAUAAGUUAAAUUUUGAAGUUAAGAAAUUCACAAAAAUAUAUCACUUUCAGAAGCAUCAAGAUGCUUCAUGUUGUUUUAAGCAACACAUUCUAAUCUCUAAGAUACGAGGUUUUAGGGAAAUUUACCCCAUGUGCAUAAAUAAAUACCCACACAUAUACAUAUAUAUGCAUAUAGACACACAUACAUAAUACAUUUAUGCUAUAUAUGUGUGUGUGUAUGUACUACAUAAGAGGAGUCUGUCAAAAGGUAUUUAAUAUUUGAACCAAGUUCUUAUCGUUCAUAAUGCAGAAUGUAACCAGAUGAAUAUAAGGCUCUGUCUUAUAAUGUAUAAAGAUUAUCUAAAUUUCAAUAUUGAAUAAUAUAACUUAAAAAAGGGACUGAUGUGGGCAGUAUAUAGCUAAUAGUUUUUCCUCUGAAUUUAAGGGAAUUGGCCUUAGGUGACAACAGAGACCAAUGAACAAAUUACCAAAGAAAUAACAUACUAAAUAGUUAACAUAUAUUAUACAAUUCUUGGAGCUAUUUAAACCACACCUUAAAAAUUAUUACAUUUAAAGAAUGGCAUCAUGUAAAAAAGUAACAUUUUUAUUAGCAAAAUUAACUAGAUUAGUAUUUCUAAUGAAAAAUAAAAUGAAAUAUGCACAUUAGUGAUAUAUUUACAUUCACAUGCAAAACUUAGUGACACCUUUGAAUUUUUCAAAAGCAUAUUAGCCACAUCUAACUACUCAUAAAUAUACUAAAGAAGAAAUGAUAGCCUUACCAUUCAAAGAAAUGUUUGUUGAACUGUAUAGUAGAGUGAGGGGUAUUAAAUAUUAUGCCUUUCUUUAAGAUUUGGCUGAAAGAUUAGAUGUCCAAUCAAUGAUACAAAAAUGUAUACCUGUCAUUUAAAAAAUGCAAGAACAGAAACUCUGUAGUACUUACAUCAGUUAUAGUAAAAGACAGCUGAUAGGCCAGAUUCAAUGCCAUAUAUCACAGAAGAAUUUUUAUUAAAUUGUUCACUCAUAGUAAAUUAGUUUGAAGAGAAACCCAACGAUCGAAGGCUUGAGCUCUCAGUGCUGAUUUCUAGUAAAAUGAGGUUUUUUUUGUUUUGUUUUGUUUUAACUUCUUUUAUACUUACAAUGGUUAAUAUACAACAAAAAUUUCAAUGCCUUUCCUCAUAUAAACAUAGAACAAUUCAUCUAUAUCAUGAUUUAAUACUCGUUUCUAUUUUUUUCUAAGUGUAUGGAAGAUUUUUUUGUUCUAGAAAUAUUGUCAGGACCCCACCCCUCAAAAAAGAGGGUAAAGUCUCUUCUUUCACAGGCUCUAAUAAAUCAAAUAGCCACGUCAGCUGAUCUGUUGGGUCCAUACUUAAACUCUGACUACUACUUCAGAUAUCAAGUUCUUUGGUUUGAGACCCAUUUGCUCAGAAAAUGUUUGCUAUUCCAUAACUUAGUUCAGCCAAAAGAUUGGCAGGAUCAGGGAUAGAAUGUAGAGGGAAUGGGAAGAGAAAGAAAAUGAAAUAGUUGACAUCAAACUUGAUAGUGUUAUGGGAGAAAUAUCUCCUCUUAGAAUUCAAUGUAUUAGGGAAUUAUUGCUGAAAUAAAACUCCUACAAUUCAGAAAUUGUGGAAGUAAGACAAACCUGGAGCUUAUUCUUCUUAAUCAAAGGUUCAAAUCUCAGAGGAAAAAGUCAACUUGACUCCCAAUUAAGAUGCUAACAAGGCUUCUAAAAAAAAUUACAUCAGUGACAGAGAAAUAAUUCUUUUUCUUAAUGCAAUCUUGUUUAUUCCUUUUAGGUCACAAAAGUUAAAAAAAAAAACACCAUAGAUUUCUAUGCUUCCUUAAUUUCAUAGAAGUUGAAUAAACUUAGUUAAAAAGAGUCAUAAUAUCAAUAUAUUCUAGGGAAAAUUAAGCAGAUACUAAUAGAUAAACUAAAUCUGGUUAUAAAUUAAACAUUGAGUUUGCAAAAUCCUAUACUUAUUAACCAUAAAGCUACAAUAUUAAAGUCACAAUGUACUAAUUGAAAACAAGGGAAAUUCUUUCACAAAUAAAAUAUCUAGGGAAACUUUUAAAUUAAAUUAGUAUUUCCCCUUCUUCCUCUUAUUUGGUUUCUUAUCUCAGGAAUGUCAAG